CAAAAGGCUCUUUUCAGAGCCACCCACAGAUGUCGUGGAAAAGAG
rfam:Oryctolagus cuniculus chromosome 12, whole genome shotgun sequence.